GUAAAGGAGAUAAACCCAGUCUUUACACAGACUGUUCACUCUGGGGAAAUUGAGGUAAAGCGGAACAGGAUUUGGAGCUGGGAAAUGAUGACUGGAGCAAGCAUCUUUGAGAUCACCCUGGCUCUCCCUGCUUCGUGGUACCAAAUAUCUGAAAUAAAAAGAUAUCUGUCUACACAGUGGGAGAAGGAGGAUCCGCAGCCGAUACUAGGAGUGAAAACUCAAAAAGAUCUUGGCUAAAACAGAUUCCAUAUUGUGGGAAGCCGCCCUCACAUUCGCCGUUGCAAGAUGGCGCUGACAUCCUGUGUUCUAAGUGGUAAACAAAUAAUCUGCGCAUGUGCCAAGGGUAGUUCUCCACUCCAUGUGCUCUGCCUUCCCCGUGAUGACAACUGGGCCGAUGGGCUGCAGCCAAUCAGGGAGUAAUACAUCCUAGGCGGAGGAUAAUUCUCCUUAAAAGGGACGGGGUUUUGCCAUUCUUUCUCUUGCUUUCUUGUUCUUGUUCUUUUUCUUGUUUUCUUGCUCUUGUUCUUUUUCUCUCUCUUGCUCUCUUGCUCUCUGGCUCCUGAAGAUGUAAGCAAUAAAGCUUUUGCCACAGAA
rnacentral:lncRNA from 1 species